rnacentral:rRNA from 2 species
UACGUAGGGUGCGAGCGUUGUCCGGAAUUACUGGGCGUAAAGAGCUCGUAGGUGGUUUGUCGCGUUGUCCGUGAAAACUCACAGCUCAACUGUGGGCGUGCGGGCGAUACGGGCAGACUGGAGUACUGCAGGGGAGACUGGAAUUCCUGGUGUAGCGGUGGAAUGCGCAGAUAUCAGGAGGAACACCGGUGGCGAAGGCGGGUCUCUGGGCAGUAACUGACGCUGAGGAGCGAAAGCGUGGGGAGCGAACAGG